rnacentral:rRNA from 1 species
UACGUAGGGUGCAAGCAUUAAUCGGAUUUAUUGGGCGUAAAGGGCGCGUAGGCGGGGAGGAAAGUUAAAUGUGAAAUCCCGGGGCUCAACUCCGGAACAGCAUUUAAAACUUCCCCUCUAGAGGAUGAGCGGAGAAAAUGGAAUUCCACGUGUAGCGGUGAAAUGCGUAGAUAUGUGGAGGAACACCGGUGGCGAAGGCGAUUUUCUAGCUUAGACCUGACGCUGAGGCGCGAAAGUAAGGGGAGCAAACAGG